CAGUAGCCACGGGAACACGGAGGGUGCAAGCGUUAAUCGGAAUUACUGGGCGUAAAGCGCACGCAGGCGGUCUGACAAGUCAGAUGUGAAAUCCCCGGGCUUAACCUGGGAACUGCAUUUGAAACUGUCAGGCUGGAGUCUUGUAGAGGGGGGUGGAAUUCCAGGUGUAGCGGUGAAAUGCGUAGAGAUCUGGAGGAAUACCGGUGGCGAAGGCGGCCCCCUGGACAAAGACUGACGCUCAGGUGCGAAAGCGUGGGGAGCAAACAGGAUUAGAUACCCCUGUAGUCCCUGUCUCUUAUAU
rnacentral:rRNA from 1 species